GUGACAGUUGGAGGGAAGACAGUUGAUCAGGACUGAGAGCUAAGGACAGGGGAUAAAGGAACAUAGAAUAUUUAUACCAUAAAUCGGUGGUGAGACAACUUCACCAGACAUAUAAAUGACAGGGAAUAAAGGAACAUAGAAUAUUUAUACCAUCAAUCGGGGGUGAGACAACUUCACCAGACAUAUAAAUCACCAUGUGCUGGAUCCUGGCGCGUUUCCAACUUCCAACACUGUCCAGAUCAUGAUAACGUUGCGGUAUUAGGAUGAGACAUUAUGAGAAAAUACCCAGGAACGUGCCUGUGAGAAGAUCAGGAGGUGACUUCUGCUGUGGAUGUGGCAGCCAGAUGGACACGCAGUAAACACAGAACAAAUGGAUGCAUCAUACGCACUAUUCCUAUUAAAUAAGGAAUUUUAUUUUAAAAAGGUCAUUCUGGGGGAAACACGUCACAUCCACCUAAUAAACAGUCACUGUUACUAUAAUUAUAUAAAAAUGAAAAUACAUGUAAUAACAGUAACAAUAGUAACUGCUUUCCUAUUUUGCUUCCUUUUGUUUUCUCAUUGUUUUACAUUUUUACUUACUUACAUACUAUACUAAAUAGAAAGUAGGGAUCGGUAUACUAAACUGGCGGAUGGGAUUCCAGCGGUCACACUACCAAUGCCAGCAUCCCAAUAGUCACGAUCCCAACAGGGGUGAGGUAAGUAUUCACACAACCCCUACCCCCUUAACCCUACCCCUCCUUUACCACAGCCUAUCCCUGACAUCCAACAUUAGUGCCUAACCCUAACCUCCACCCUUAGUGUUUAACCCUAACCUCCCACCGGUGGUGCCUAACCCUAACCUCCCACCAGGGGUGCCUAACCCUAACCUCCACCCUUAGUGCCUAACCCUAACCUCCACCCUUAAUGCCUAACCCUAACCUCCACCCUUAAUGUCUAACCCUAACCUCCACCCUUAGUGCCUAACCCUAACCUCCACCCUUAGUGCCUAACCCUAACCUCCCACCGGUGGUGCCUAAUCCUAACCUCCCACCGGGGGUGCCUUACCCUAACAUCCACCCUUAGUGCCUAACCCUAACCUCCACCCUUAAUGCCUAACCCUAAACUCCACCUUUAAUGUCUAACCCUAACCUCCACCCUUAAUGCCUAUCCCUAACCUCCACCCUUAGUGCCUAACCCUAACCUCCACCCUUAAUGCCUAACCAUAACCUCCACCCUUAAUGCCUAUCCCUAACCUCCACCCUUAAUGCCUAACCCUAACCUCCACCUUUAGUGCCUAACCCUAACCCUCCCCCCGGGUGGCAUUUAAACCCUACACACCCAUCUUCCCUCACAUGCAGUCAAACAGUAACCCUGUCAAGAUGUUUACUUGUUCUGGAUUCCGGCGCCCCCGUGUUCUGUCGGGUGUUGGGAUUCCGGCGUCGAUAUUUCAACUGCUGGGAUCCCGACAGCUGGUAUCUUGAACUUAUACCAAAAGGACACGGUAUAAAAAGUAACAUGCAAUACAGCUUAAAGAUCCUUUACAUGCCUAUUUCCCUGUAGAUUGUAAGCUUGCGAGCAGGGCCUUCCUACCUCUAUGACUGUUUGUUAUUACCCAGUUUUCUUACAACAUUGUUUUGUUAUAUUAUUAUUUCCAAUUGUAAAGCGCAACGGAAUUUGCUGCGCCAUAUAAGAAACUGUUAAUAAAUAAAUAAAGUAC